rnacentral:rRNA from 1 species
AUUGAACGCUGGCGGCAUGCCUUACACAUGCAAGUCGAACGGCAGCACGGGUGCUUGCACCUGGUGGCGAGUGGCGAACGGGUGAGUAAUACAUCGGAACAUGUCCUGUAGUGGGGGAUAGCCCGGCGAAAGCCGGAUAAAUACCGCAUACGAUCCACGGAUGAAAGCGGGGGACCUUCGGGCCUCGCGCUAUAGGGUUGGCCGAUGGCUGAUUAGCUAGUUGGUGGGGUAAAGGCCUACCAAGGCGACGAUCAGUAGCUGGUCUGAGAGGACGACCAGCCACACUGGGACUGAGACACGGCCCAGACUCCUACGGGAGGCAGCAGUGGGGAAUUUUGGACAAUGGGCGAAAGCCUGAUCCAGCAAUGCCGCGUGUGUGAAGAAGGCCUUCGGGUUGUAAAGCACUUUUGUCCGGAAAGAAAUCCUUGGCUCUAAUACAGUCGGGGGAUGACGGUACCGGAAGAAUAAGCACCGGCUAACUACGUG